rnacentral:rRNA from 1 species
UGGGGAAUUUUGCACAAUGGGGGAAACCCUGAUGCAGCGACGCCGCGUGAUUUAGAAGGCCUUCGGGUUGUAAAAAUCUUUUCUAUGGGAAGAAAAUGACAGUACCAUAGGAAUAAGGACCGGCUAAUUACGAGCCAGCAGCCGCGGUAAUACGUAAGGUCCGAGCGUUGUCCGGAAUCAUUGGGCGUAAAGGGUACGUAGGCGGGUAAGCAAGUUAGAAGUGAAAUCCUAUAGCUCAACUAUAGUAAGCUUUUAAAACUGCUCAUCUUGAGGUAUGGAAGGGAAAGUGGAAUUCCUAGUGUAGCGGUGAAAUGCGCAGAUAUUAGGAGGAAUACCGGUGGCGAAGGCGACUUUCUGGCCAUAACCUGACGCUGAGGUACGAAAGCGUGGGUAGCAAACAGG